rnacentral:rRNA from 1 species
CUAAAAGCUGACUGAGGACGACAUUAAUGAAUUGAAACAGGCUGUAUGCUGAUCUCUAUCUGAGAUAUGUGCACGUCUGGCCAUCAUUCAAACCUCUGUGCACCUAUUGUAGGGAUGGUGGAAGGCUUUAAUUAGUCUGAAACCUCUCUAUGUUUUUUUACUACAAACGCUUCAGUUAUAGAAUGUCAAUCUUUGGGUAUAAUGGAAAUAUAUAUAUACAACUUUCAGCAACGGAUCUCUUGGCUCUCGCAUCGAUGAAGAACGCAGCGAAAUGCGAUAAGUAAUGUGAAUUGCAGAAUUCAGUGAAUCAUCGAAUCUUUGAACGCACCUUGCGCUCUCUGGUAUUCCGGAGAGCAUGCCUGUUUGAGUAUCAUGGAAUUCUCAACCUUCAAUACUUUAUUGUAUUGAAGGCUUGGAGUUGGAGGUUUGUGCUGGCCUUUUAGGUCGGCUCCUCUGAAAUAUAUUAGCGUCAAUGACUAUGGAUCGCUUCGGUGUGAUAAUUAUCUGCGCCGUGGUUGUGAAGUACUAAAUACGCUUCUAAUCGUCCUGUAAAUUAUUGGACAAUCACUAUGAUUUUUGAUCUCAAAUCAGGUAGGACUACCCGCUGAACUUAAGCAUAUCAUAA